GAUGAACGCUAGCGGCAGGCCUAACACAUGCAAGUCGAGGGGUAACAUUGGUGCUUGCACCAGAUGACGACCGGCGCACGGGUGAGUAACGCGUAUACAACCUACCCUUAAUCGAGGGAUAGCCCGAAGAAAUUCGGAUUAAUACCUCAUAACAUAUUGGAUUACCUAUUCCGAUAUUGAAAACUCAGGUGACUAAGGAUGGGCAUGCGUGACAUUAGCUAGUUGGUAAGGUAACGGCUUACCAAGGCGACGAUGUCUAGGGGGCCUGAGAGGGUGGUCCCCCACACUGGUACUGAGACACGGACCAG
rnacentral:rRNA from 1 species